rnacentral:rRNA from 1 species
AUACGGAGGGGGCUAGCGUUGUACGGAAUUACUGGGCGUAAAGGGCGCGUAGGCGGCCCAUAAAGUCAGACGUGAAAGCCCCGGGCUCAACCUGGGAACUGCGCUUGAUACGUGUGGGCUAGAGUCCGGGAGAGGAUGGUGGAAUUCCCAGUGUAGAGGUGAAAUUCGUAGAUAUUGGGAAGAACACCGGUGGCGAAGGCGGCCAUCUGGACCGGUACUGACGCUAAGGCGCGAAAGCGUGGGGAGCAAACAGGAUUAGAUACCCCAGUAGUCC